CCAGUUAAAAUUUGAAUUUCAGAUAAAUAACAAAUAAUGUUUUGAUACAAGUGUGUACUUGUCAUGCAAUAUUUGGGACAUACUUAUACUAAAAAAAUUGUUUAUCUGAAAUUCAAAUUUAACUGUACAU
rnacentral:miRNA from 1 species